GUGAAGCCCCCCCCGAGAUAAGGUUUCGUACGUGCUUGACACGAGAGCCCCCUUGAAGACGACGAGGUUGAUAGGCUGGAUGUGUAAGCUCAGCAAUGGGUUUAGCUAACCAGUACUAACGGGCGAACGCUUGACCAC
rnacentral:rRNA from 1 species